UACGUAGGUGGCAAGCGUUGUCCGGAAUUAUUGGGCGUAAAGCGCGCGCAGGUGGUUUCUUAAGUCUGAUGUGAAAGCCCACGGCUCAACCGUGGAGGGUCAUUGGAAACUGGGGAACUUGAGUGCAGGAGAGAAGAGUGGAAUUCCACGUGUAGCGGUGAAAUGCGUAGAGAUCGGUAGGAACACCAGUGGCGAAGGCGGUCUCCUGGGGUUAUCUUGACGCUGAGGCGCGAAAGCUGGGGGAGCGAACGGG
rnacentral:rRNA from 1 species